GACGGAGGGUGCAAGCGUUGCUCGGAAUCACUGGGCGUAAAGGGUGCGUAGGCGGGUCUUUAAGUCAGGGGGUGAAAUCCUGGAGCUCAACUCCAGAACUGCCUUUGAUACUGAAGAUCUUGAGUUCGGGAGAGGUGAGUGGAACUGCGAGUGUAGAGGUGAAAUUCGUAGAUAUUUGCAAGAACACCAGUGGCGAAGGCGGCUCACUGGCCCGAUACUGACGCUGAGGCACGAAAGCGUGGGGAGCAAACAGG
rnacentral:rRNA from 1 species